rnacentral:tRNA from 2 species
GGGGCCCUUCGAGCGGUGCAAAUCCAGGCUGGCGGGGCCUGAGCCUCGGGUUCGGGUCCCCGGGGGCCCCG